CCGUGCUAGACGGGGAGUUGGCGGUGCCCUAUUACCCGCAAUCCGCCAUAGCGGGGUUGAACUCCUGCCCGAGGUUUGAACAUGUAAGGUCUGCCUUGUAAAAAAUAGUGUUGAAAAACUGGGUCCUGCGCAAUGGUACCUAUGAAUCUGGUCAGGUCCGGAAGGAAGCAGCCAUAAGUAGUCACUACUAUGUGCCGUGGGUCAGCCUAGUUUGAGCUAUUCUUUACAAGUAACGCUUGGUUGUUCUCAUCAGAGGCAGGUGCACGG
rnacentral:SRP_RNA from 1 species